rnacentral:lncRNA from 1 species
CUUGCCACUGCCAUGUAAGAAGUGCCUUUCACCACCCCCACACCCUGCCAUGACUCUGAGGCCUCCCCAGCCACGUGGAACUGAGGCAGCUGUAUGGAGGCCAAUAUGCAGACAAGGGAAGUAACUCAGGCAUUUUGGGGGAGAGGUACAGAAAGAAGAGAAAAGACUGAACUGACUGCUGUUCUGAACAAGAACUGUGACUAUAUGUGGUACUCCCAGAAUGCUGGUUUCCUUUCAGACCCAUCAAGUGGCCAUCCUAUUGGCUUGGACUGAAGACCCCCACUGGAGAACUGUCUCUGCAGCCUAUACUGAUGACACUGGCCACUGUCCAGGGCUCCACCCCAAGGAGUCCAAGCCCCAGACAUUUAGCCUUAGAGAGAAUCCAGAUUUUGCAUUUCCAGUGCAGGGAUUGAUGGAGCCUUGUGUAUCAAAGUGCCAAUUUCUUUCUAACAAGCUAGGGAGGAUACCGUUGACAGCAGCAGAAAGGGGUAGCAGUGGUUUGCUUUCCAAAUGGUAAUAAGAAGGGCCUGGCAGUGGCAACCUGUCCACGUAUCAUUAAAAAUGGACUCUCCUGCUUCGUUUGGAAUUCAACCCAAUGAACUUGAAUAAACUCUGGACAAUGACCAGCACAGAGCCCUAAGCAGGAUACAGCAAGAUUAUUUGCUUUACUCAUCCACUGAGUACCUACCAUGUGCCAAAUACUAUGCUAUAUGCCGAGUAUACACUGGCAAAUAAAACAGAUAUGGUCCCUGGAGCCUAUGAAUCUUACCCCAUCUAGCCACAAAUAAUAAAAAUAAGAAGAAUCUGAAGGACAAGUGGGACAGAAAUACUCAAGCAGAAUGAGGGUGAGAUUGAAGUCCCUGAACAUACAGUGCCCUUUACACUUGAUCUUAGCCAAAAGGCCGAGAAGAGAUUACAGUGCUUUUUAAAGGUAGCAUUUCACCCAGCCAAUAAUCAAUCCCUUUGGCCUUCUUGAGGUGCAAGGCCACACACUCAAAUUCUUUAAUCAAACAAUAGGCUAGUGCAAAUGGAGCUAUUUCUUAAACCCAGCUGUUUACACAGCAGCUACAAAUCUGUUCAGAAGGAAUCCCCCACCAUCCACAACUGUCUAUCGAGCAGAUGUGCAAGAGUAUUUGUCUCUCACCACCAGGGUUGCAGUCAGGACAAGAGAGCAGGUUUGAACGUCUUCGGCUCCUAGAACUGCACAAGCUGUGUCUUCAGUGCCCAGAGGCGGCUGCAACGUCUCCCCAGUUCUCCUCUCAGAACAAUGGAAAUUUUUUUUAGAGGCGUAAUAGGAAGGUUUGCAUUGAAUUAUUAAACAAUGGGUAUUGAAAAAUAUGUUUUCUUUGACCUCUGUACUUCUAGCUUUUACCAGUCAGUGUUUUCUUGUACCAAGGCUAAGAUAUGUAUAACACUGAAAUGGAUGUCUUCUUAUAUAAUAUUUUACAAGCUUUUGAAAACCUGUGCCCUUUAAUAAAUUUUAAAACGUUUAAAAAAAAAAAAAAA